CAGAAUCUGCUGUUCUUAACUGUGAUUUGUCGCAGUUAAGAGUCUCAGUUAAGGAACGUAGGUAGGGUAUCCCUCCGCCACUGCUAUUUCUGCUACUUCCGCGAUUUCUGCUACGUCUGCGAUUUUUGUGACUUCUGCUACUCCUGCGAUUUCUGUGACUUCUGCGACUUACCACCGUAUGAAAAAGUUACAUCUGCCCACAAAGAAAAUUACAUCUCAACAAAUCUGUCAUUGGUACCCCAACUACAUUUCAGUCACUCAGUAAAUUGAUAACUCAAAAUAUCAUUGUCAACAGAUCUGGAGAAAUUGCCACUGCGUCUUUAGACCGUUUUCGUCGGACGAGAGCUUAGUUUACACAGUUCUGACUCUUGAUUAGUGGCUGCUGUACGUAUCUAUCCACAUCAAGGCUAUUGAGAAAGACUCGUGAAGAUUCAAGACAGCUCUUAGAGGAUUUGUAGUUUAAAAGUGACAUAAUUGUGAAAUAAGUGUGCAGAUGAGUGAUUAAACUGUGUUUUAUUGAAGUU